rnacentral:rRNA from 1 species
UACGAAGGGGGCGAGCAUUGUUCGGAAUUACUGGGCGUAAAGGGCGCGUAGGCGGCGACUCAAGUUAGAUGUGAAAGUCCUGGGCUUAACCUGGGGACUGCAUUUGAUACUGGGUUGCUUGAAUUCGGGAGAGGAUAGCGGAAUUCCCAGUGUAGAGGUGAAAUUCGUAGAUAUUGGGAAGAACACCGGUGGCGAAGGCGGCUAUCUGGACCGACAUUGACGCUGAGGCGCGAAAGCGUGGGGAGCAAACAGG